UUAAGAAUGUGCCGGUUUGGCAGUGCUUUGCUAGCUGGCUGUUCAAUAAAUGAUUCCAGCAGCUGGUUGCACGCCCCACUGUCACAAUCCAAACCCAACGCGAAAGGAAUGGA